CUGACGGGUGUCACGUCAGAAACAGAAACCUACGUGACUUCGCGCCCCUGUAAAUGCUCCACUUGACCAGAAAUGCGGUCUAUUCAGUUAGCCAAUCCCCAAACACCAAGCCAACGCUGGGCCUUCUCACCCGCACAAGUUUUUGGUGACUAAUGGAUUCUAAAGCUGACUUCUUGACCUGUGAAGCAAUCAGACGCACAGGCAAGGCACCUGCUGAAUCCUUCGUGUUCACGCUCCUCUCGUCCUUCCCCAGGGCUGUGGCUGGAAAAGCUAAACUGAAAUAAAGGAAGCUCUCUGUAUCAUGAACAUUUAUGAAGUUUCAUCUGUGUUUUGAAAACUUCUUAACUGCACAUGCUGGACCCUGUCUGAAGCCUUUCUCUGCGCUCAGGAACACAUUAAGCCUGCAAGCAGAAUGAGCAAGAAUUCCAACCCAGCCCCAGAAAUAGCCCUCAACCCUGAGCUGAAUUCCACUUGGGGGACUGAAGG